rnacentral:rRNA from 1 species
UACGAAGGGGGCUAGCGUUGCUCGGAAUCACUGGGCGUAAAAGCGCACGUAGGCGGACUCUUAAGUCAGGGGUGAAAUCCUGGAGCUCAACUCCAGAACUGCCUUUGAUACUGGGAGUCUCGAGUUCGGGAGAGGUGAGUGGAACUGCGAGUGUAGAGGUGAAAUUCGUAGAUAUUCGCAAGAACACCAGUGGCGAAGGCGGCUCACUGGCCCGAUACUGACGCUGAGGAGCGAAAGCGUGGGGAGCGAACAGG